rnacentral:rRNA from 1 species
GAGGAACGCUGGCGGUAUGCUUAACACAUGCAAGUCGGACGCGAAAGAGGGCUUCGGUUCUCGAGUAGAGUGGCGCACGGGUGAGUAACGCGUAAGUAAUCUGCCCUGGUAUCUGGGAUAACCCACCGAAAGGUGUGCUAAUACGGGAUACGCUGAUUUAUCAGGAAAGGUGGCCUCUUCAUGAAAGCUACUGUACCAGGAGGAGCUUGCGUACCAUUAGCUAGUUGGUAGGGUAAUGGCCUACCAAGGCGACGAUGGUUAGCGGGUCUGAGAGGAUGAUCCGCCACACUGGAACUGAAACACGGACCAGACACCUACGGGAGGCAG